UGAUGGGAAAGUUGCACAAAAUACUUCAUUUCUUAUCUACAGACAAAGGGGCUUCUGGCCACAAUGACGACUUCAUCUGUACGAACAGUAUUAAAGAGCCACAGUGAAUGCAAGAUGCUAUCAGAACCCACAGCCCCAAGCCAGCGCCAGCCACAUCUGCAGCCGAAAGAGCUCCCAGGAGCACCUGCCAGCUUGUUUGUUUUCAGAUAUCCAUGGACACACAUCACACACAAGUCAGAUGUGGUCAGUUCCAUUGGGAAGUGGGGUUUUCAUCAGCAGGGACUCUGCGGCAACUCACCUGCUUUCUGCUCCAAGAGUCCAGCACCCUGAGAUCCUGAUGCCAGGGUAAGCUGGGGGACUGCUCAUAGCCAAAGAUGCAGAAACCAGAAUGAAAGGUCUACAGCAGAGACUGAAGAGAGGAAGGCUCAUCACUUGGACCACCAAAGAACUAAGAAAGGUCUCAAGAUCCCUCUGCUAUGGUUAAAUCUAGUCAAGCAACCCAUCCCAGCAAGAGGCAGGAGGCGGUUCAGAGAGUCAUCAAAGCCAUUUUCACAAGGCAUCAAGGAGUCCUGGCUCUUGUGUUUGGAAGACGGGUCAGCUGAGGUCCGGAACCAAUUCUAGGGCAAGAAAACUUGCAAUAAAGACUGAGAACUUUGGUC